rnacentral:rRNA from 1 species
UACGUAGGGUGCAAGCGUUGUCCGGAAUUAUUGGGCGUAAAGAGCUCGUAGGCGGUGUGUCACGUCGGCCGUGAAAACCUGCAGCUUAACUGUGGCGUGCGGUCGAUACGGGCAUCACUGGAGUUCGGCAGGGGGAGACUGGAAUUCCUGGUGUAGCGGUGAAAUGCGCAGAUAUCAGGAAGAACACCCGUGGCGAAAAGCGGCUCUCUGGAACGGUAC